ensembl:lncRNA
CAAAUAGGGAAAUGGUCCCAAUCGUUUUUCCAUAGGGAAUUUAAGAAACACUUAACAUAUGGUCUGUGUUUCGUGUAGGCGUACCCUGGUGUGACCUUUUGAUAACCGUGUAAAUCUCUCUAGGACAAGGUGACUUUUAUCAAUAUAUUUACCUGCAAAAAAUGAAAUGUUAAUUAGCUGCUAAUGGGGCUAUCAUAAAGAACUGCAAAUACCAUGUGAUCUGGACAAGACUGCCAAAUCGAGGCAAUGGUGGAGCACACACCUGGAAAAAGAGAAAUAACACCCUGUCUGUGUGUACUUUCACCACCAGAGAGAGCUAUUUGUCCAGGUUUUCUGUCCACUGAUCUCUUUCAGUGAGUAGAAUGUGACGUUGAUUUGCAGUGAGAGACUUAUGGUGAGCUCCACUUUCUUAUUUUGGUACGAAUGGACAUUAUAACUCACUGCUUCUAUGUGUAGCAUAUUUCACAUUUUGCUUUCUGGUCUGUUUUUGGAAUAACAUAACUUGUUUAAUUAGCCUACAAUUAAAACAUUGCUAUCCAUGCACACACUAACUUACGGACACACACUCAGUCACGUACAAACGAAUGCACCCACACAUACUUGGGUCAAUGGUAAAGAGUUCUUCUAAGGUCAUGGCAGCAAACUGCCUUCGUUCAUGUUAGAGGGCAAAUUUGAACAAUGUCCAGUUUAUACAGUAGUAACAACAUCUCCUUUGAUAAUUGAUCAGAUUCAGCAACCAUUAGAGUUUCUACCUCUUUAAGGCAAACAGUACUAAAAUGGUGCCAAGAGUUGAUGUCCUCUCCUUCUACAGCAUCUUCUUAAUAAAUACAUUUAGCUGUGGAAGUCCAGUGCCCACACUGUUAUCAAGAAAAAUGACUCCCAUAAACCAGUGUUGGUGAUUUGGGUUUCCCAAGCCCCUCAUAAAGGAGGUAUUCUGGUCCUAGACAUUAAUUAUGGAAAUAAUAGAGCGUCACAUUUUGUUCCCUGUUCUCUGC